rnacentral:rRNA from 1 species
AUUGAACGCUGGCGGCAGGCCUAACACAUGCAAGUCGAGCGGAUGAAGGGAGCUUGCUCCUGGAUUCAGCGGCGGACGGGUAAGUAAUGCCUAGGAAUCUGCCUGGUAGUGGGGGAUAACGUCCGGAAACGGGCGCUAAUACCGCAUACGUCCUGAGGGAGAAAGUGGGGGAUCUUCGGACCUCACGCUAUCAGAUGAGCCUAGGUCGGAUUAGCUAGUUGGUGGGGUAAAGGCCUACCAAGGCGACGAUCCGUAACUGGUCUGAGAGGAUGAUCAGUCACACUGGAACUGAGACACGGUCCAGACUCCUACGGGAGGCAGCAGUGGGGAAUAUUGGACAAUGGGCGAAAGCCUGAUCCAGCCAUGCCGCGUGUGUGAAGAAGGUCUUCGGAUUGUAAAGCACUUUAAGUUGGGGGGAAGGGCAGUAAGUUAAUACCUUGCUGUUUUGACGUUACCAACAGAAUAAGCACCGGCUAACUUCGUG